CCUGGUGUUCACUGAGGCAAUGACAGACUCCAGCGCCUUUGACAAGGAGGUGGCCAGAAACAUGCUGGACGUGGUCAAGGGAAACUGCGAUUUCUGGCUGGUGGAUGUGCCAAAGAUCACGAGCUGCAUCCACAAAACCCUGGGGUGCAUCAACACGGCACCAGCCCGACAGAGCGUGGAGUCUCUAAUUGUCUGGAUGGCUGACAAAUGCCCUGGGGAGGUGGUGUCUACGCUGCUGACAAUCGCACCACCAGGAGACAGCACUGCCCUGGCACUGUGGGAGGUGAUGUUCUCCGUGCCCCAGACCCUGCAAAGCGUUUUGAAGGAGCUGCUCAUCCAACUCCAGGACCCAAAGAGCAGGCUCUUCUGCACGUACCUGGAGGACCACUGCCUCGUUAGCUUGGCUAUGCUGGCCGGCAGUGAUCUGGGAGAUCGGGAGUUUGCUCUGCUCUACAUGGCCUUCAGGUUUCUGAAGGAAGAAAGGCCGGCCAUGCUCUCCCUGGUGCUCACGGGCACCAUGACGCUGUCACAGACAGACGAGAUGGUGAGCGGAGUGUCACCAAGGGCAGCCAUGGUGGCUGCUCCAGAGGCCCUUCCUGCCAUGGUGGGGCCUGGGGGCUGCCUGGGGAGCUCUUCACACAUGGACCUGGUCCCAAAAGGGCAACUCUCUUCGUCGUACAGGCAAGGAAAAUGAAGGUCAUGCUGCCAGACCUGAUGUGGGUCCUGCAGUGCGGCAACAAGGCCAUCAAGAUCAAGGCUCUGGCCAUCUUCAGAACCGUGAUGGCUCAGCUGCAGAGGGAGGAGGCCAGCCCCAUCGCUGUGACGCUGGCAGGAUUUCUCCUGCCCCUCUUUGAUGACGAGCUGAGCCAGCUGAGAGAGAGCUCCAUCAGCCUCUUCAGAGACCUGAUGAAGACGGUGGUGCGGAACGACAAGAGGGAGAUGAAGAACACAGUGCAACGUGGCCUGCUCCCUCUCUUCUUCCGCAUGAGUGACCAAGUGCAGAGCGUGGCCAAGGCCGCUGGGGAAGCCCUCCUCGGUGCAGCAGAGCUGCUCAGGUGGAAACAGCUCAAACAGCUGGUGCAGACAGAGCAGACAUGGCGGAUUGGAGAGAGCUUGGUGAGGACAACCCCCAAGGCCCAGGGCCCAGGCUGGACGGGGCUGCCCCACAUGUCUGUCCUGUGGGCUCUGCAGAUGUACCUCGCCUGUCCUGCUGCAGCCCCGAGCUGCAUCCUUGUUCCCUGUGCUCAAGAACAGAGCCCCCAGGGCUCUUCCCUCUGCCCCGCAGCCAGCGGGAGGGAGGGCUCUCAGCACCCCUGGGACCCCUCGGCCUG